rnacentral:rRNA from 1 species
AUUGAACGCUGGCGGCAGGCCUAACACAUGCAAGUCGAGCGGAUGAAGGGAGCUUGCUCCUGGAUUCAGCGGCGGACGGGUGAGUAAUGCCUAGGAAUCUGCCUGGUAGUGGGGGAUAACGUCCGUAAACGGGCGCUAAUACCGCAUACGUCCUGAGGGAGAAAGUGGGGGAUCUUCGGACCUCACGCUAUCAGAUGAGCCUAGGUCGGAUUAGCUAGUUGGUGGGGUAAAGGCCUACCAAGGCGACGAUCCGUAACUGGUCUGAGAGGAUGAUCAGUCACACUGGAACUGAGACACGGUCCGGACUCCUACGGGAGGCAGCAGUGGGGAAUAUUGGACAAUGGGCGAAAGCCUGAUCCAGCCAUGCCGCGUGUGUGAAGAAGGUCUUCGGAUUGUAAAGCACUUUAAGUUGGGAGGAAGGGAAGUAAGUUAAUACCUUGCUGUUUUGACGUUACCAACAGAAUAAGCACCGGCUAACUUCGUG